UCGGGGACUCUGACUCGCAGGCAUGCGUGCCUUCGACGGGCACAGUUUAUGCAGGCGUGCAUUCAUUUACAAUUCAAGUCGGCUUCGAGACUGGCGUAUCUGCCACACUUCCUGUGCAUUUCCUGCACGAAGCCGUCAAACCCGCCUUCCCGCGCCGGCUGGGAGAUCUCUGCUUUCGCCCGCACCAGUUGAAAUCCGGAUUUCCCAAGACAGUGCUGGGCUCCUGGCUGAUCAACAAAACAUCGGGAAGCAGGAGAUCAGAGCCUAUCCAACGAAACUAGGCAGCACCCUGGGAAAAACUCCAACAAUGCCAGAGAAGGAAGGCAAAAAAGGACAGUUCUGAUCUACAGGGAUGGAGAGGAAAGGCAUCGCAGAUAAGGCAUCCUGGCCCAUGGGGCAGAGACAGCAUCCCUGGUACAACCACUUUCUGGAGCUCAGGAGACAAGAUGCAGGGAGAGCAUCUUUUUCCUUCGUGGGUGGUCUUGGAGGAUGCUUCUCGAGAGAUACGGACCUCAGUCAUCCUCCUACC